AUAUAAAGUCCGUAAGAUGAGAUAGUCUUAAUAAUGGAGACUAAUCUAACCAUCUUACGCAUGAUAAAAAGGUAGUUUGACGCUUGACAAUCUAGGUGGAAGCUUAGGAAGGAAGCGAGUCAAACGAAUCAACUAUGAAGGAAAAGAAUAAUUUGGAUGCAAGGAUAUCUUGAAGUGCCAGAUGACGAUCAAGCUCAAAGAAGAACCGAACACGAUCAAGAUUCAAGCUUCCAUAUUACGUUUCUUCGUCACGUUUUAAACGAUGAUAUAAAUAUAUUUUGUUGAAAUGUUUUAAAUUUUAAAAUGUUUAAACAAA